rnacentral:rRNA from 1 species
AGCGAACGCUGGCGGCAGGCCUAACACAUGCAAGUCGAACGAAGUCUUCGGACUUAGUGGCGGACGGGUGAGUAACACGUGGGAACGUGCCUUUAGGUUCGGAACAACUCAGGGAAACUUGAGCUAAUACCGGAUGUGCCCUUCGGGGGAAAGAUUUAUCGCCAUUGGAGCGGCCCGCGUCUGAUUAGCUAGUUGGUGAGGUAAAGGCUCACCAAGGCGACGAUCAGUAGCUGGUCUGAGAGGAUGAUCAGCCACAUUGGGACUGAGACACGGCCCAAACUCCUACGGGAGGCAGCAGUGGGGAAUCUUGCGCAAUGGGCGAAAGCCUGACGCAGCCAUGCCGCGUGAAUGAUGAAGGUCUUAGGAUUGUAAAAUUCUUUCAUCGGGGACGAUAAUGACGGUACCCGGAGAAGAAGCCCCGGCUAACUUCGUGCCAGCCGCCGCAGUAA